CCGGUUCCAAGUCUACGGGCACCCUCUUCGGCAAAAGCCUCACAGGGCUGUCAAAGUUGUGAAGGCAACAAUUGCAUUGCACAACUUCCUCCGGACGAAGAACAGUUCAAGGGGGAGGUACACGCCUCCAGAAAGUCUCGACGUUGAGGACGUCCUCACAGGAACAGUACGCGGUGGCACAUGGAGGAAAGACGUGAACGACAAGGUAGUCUUCCCUGUGCAACGCAUUGGCGGCAAGCCAUCAACCGACGCCAAAGCCGUUCGGACGGUCUUCAAGGAGUACUUCUGGGAUGAAGGCCAAGUCUCUUGGCAGUGGAAGUUACUGAAGUAAUGCCACCACAACGACCUGUGAAGAUAUGGCUGCUUCCACGAGGGCCUUAUGCGCGGCAAGCAUGCCCAGCUGCCUGCUGGUACCCCUUGGUAUCGUCCGAGCAAGCCCCUCCAUCACCAGGCCAAAGCCCCGACACUCAUCAGGCUCCACCUCCCUGGCAGACUUGAGGCUGUUUACAGCUGCCUGCAGCAGUGCCGCCUUGUUUGUCGCCAGUUCCUCCGUGCUGUGACGGCGGCUCCUUUUGGCCGGUGCCUCAGGUGGUGGGCUUUCGUCUUCGGACCUGUAGUCAUCGGGCACAUGGCAGGAAUCCUGCAGACAAUUUGUGUUGCAUCUUAUCUUUUUCUUUCAUUUGCAAGUG